CCUACGGGAGGCAGCAGUGGGGAAUAUUGCACAAUGGGCGAAAGCCUGAUGCAGCAACGCCGCGUGAGGGACGAAGGCCUUCGGGUUGUAAACCUCUUUUAGCAGGGAAGAAGCGAAAGUGACGGUACCUGCAGAAAAAGCACCGGCUAACUACGUGCCAGCAGCCGCGGUAAUACGUAGGGUGCAAGCGUUGUCCGGAAUUAUUGGGCGUAAAGAGCUCGUAGGCGGUUUGUCACGUCUGCUGUGAAAUUUCGAGGCUCAACCUCGAACUUGCAGUGGGUACGGGCAGGCUAGAGUGCGGUAGGGGAGAUGGGAAUUCCUGGUGUAGCGGUGGAAUGCGCAGAUAUCAGGAGGAACACCAAUGGCGAAGGCACAUCUCUGGGCCGUAACUGACGCUGAGGAGCGAAAGCGUGGGGAGCGAACAGGAUUAGAUACCCUGGUAGUCCACGCCGUAAACGGUGGGUGCUAGCUGUGGGCCACAUUCCACGUGGUCCGUGACGAAGUUAACACAUUAAGCACCCCGCCUGGGGAGUACGGCCGCAAGGCUAAAACUCAAAGGAAUUGACGG
rnacentral:rRNA from 1 species